rnacentral:rRNA from 1 species
GACGUAGGGCGCGAGCGUUGUCCGGAUUUAUUGGGCGUAAAGAGCUCGUAGGCGGCUCAUCGCGUCUGCCGUGAAAACCUGUGGCUCAACUACAGGCUUGCGGUUGAUACGGGUGGGCUGGAGUACGGUAGGGGCAGAGGGAAUUUCCGGUGGAGCGGUGAAAUGCGUAGAGAUCGGAAAGAACACCAACGGCGAAAGCACUCUGCUGGGCCGACACUGACACUGAGAGACGAAAGCUAGGGGAGCGAAUGGG